rfam:Rattus norvegicus chromosome 9, whole genome shotgun sequence.
GGGGAUUUGGCUCAGUGGUAGAGCACUUGCUUAGGAAGCGCAAGGUCCUGGGUUCGGUCCCCAGCCCCG